UUGUGCGCUGUAUGGGAGCAUCACCUGUCAAUUAAAAGCUGACGGCUUAUUAGCAAAAGGCAGGAAGUAGAAGGUGGGAGUUCUGGUAGAAAGAUUGGAACUCUGGGAGAUAAGAGUCAGAAGAUUUACCCUGGGCUCUGAGAAAUCGGAAGCAUGAAACUGAGGAGAGGAAAACUUAUGGAUUCCAUCCAAACUGAUAAAAAUCAGAUUUGAUAGAGGAAGACCCUCUGAAGAUCUUGACUGCAGAAAGGAAGAAAGAAAUCUAGAAGACCAAAUAGGAUAGGUAACAUGAUUGAUUUGCUGGUUGGUUAACUGUUCAUGGGAACAGCCAUGAAACUAGCUGAGACAUAAAAAUGUCUCUAGCCAGAACUUCAGUUACACAUAGCCAAUAAGAUUCAUUGGGCCAUCAUUUCAUACAGUAUGAAUGGAAAUUUAUAUUGCAGUUUGAUUAUGUGGUCAAACUAACUUUUAAGGAAAGAUAGUUGUCUUUCACCUGCUCAAAAAAGAGCAGAAAAAAAAUCACCCUUAAUUGAUCUGUGCACCCUGCAUGUUUCAUACAAAUGUCUUUAUAAACCUAUGAACUGCUUGCAAAGUUUGUAUAUUGCAGAAUGGAAGGCCAGAAGAGCAGCCCUGACCGGAUUCACUUUCGAGGAUGCUGGGAUGCUGAAACCUGCUUUUCCAGCUCCCUGAUCAAUAUUGCCUCAAACUGAUGCUGUUCCAGAGACUUGCUUCCAGAACAGCUUCAAAAAGGGCUGCUAAUCCCAGAUGACCUUGUUUCAUCCAGUCUUUCAGAUUGUUCUAAUCAGGACUUCAGUUAAGCCCUAAACUUUCUCCAUUCAAGACUUCAGUUAAUCAACCUAUAGAGACUGGACAACAAUAAUGCCAGCUAGCUUUCUUUUGACUUAACCAUUUUUCCAGUUUUCUCUUGGGCCCCCAAACUGGAACUCUUUUCCCCAAUUCAGCAAGAAGAAACUAUAAGAAGACUGUCAUCCCAAUCACUUAAGUUGGGGUGGAUAGUUUUGAUCAUUUUAUGAAUUAUAGAUAUAUUGUCAUUUUAAGGGAUGAUUACAAAUAAUUAUGGUCUUAGACAGGGAGGAAAUUAUAUAGGGAGCUGAGACUCAGAGAUUGCUAUAUCUCUUUUCCUUUUCUCUAUCCUUCUUUCUUUCUUAAAUAAAGAUAAAGAGGUUGAGAAGAAAAAGGGGGCAUAUAGAAAUAUUGUAAGAAAUUAGACAAAUAGGGGUAGAUUAUUAAAUCUAUUCUUAAAUAAAAACAUUUUACAGUGAUAAUCUUAUAUUGAUAGAGAUAUUUAUAUUUUGAUGCAAAAUUGAGGUUAUAUUUUGUUACAUUGGCAUAGGUUAUUAUAUAUUGAUAUAAAUUUAAGGUUAAUUUUGAUACACAUAAUGUAUAUGUUUUCAAUUUUCAUAUGAGAUAUUGUACUUACAUAAUUCUUAAAGAUCAACGUAAAGUUCUACUCUUUUUAAAAACUGCUAUUACAAACAAUUAGGGGUGAUAAAAAAUACAAGUUAUAAACUAUUAAGAUGGUUAAGAAAUAAGCUCAAUAGUCAGAUAGUCAAACUCAUGAUCAUAGUUGAUACUAAUUUAAUUAAUUAUAAUAAAAUGUUCUUAAGGUUAUUCAGAUAGUUAAUAGCUAAGAAUAACGAAUGUCUAGUUGGUCUUCAAAACCUCAUAGAUACACAGAAUAUGGCAUUUAAAAUUAUUUCAUUAUUAAAAGAUCUUUUGACUAUGAGACAGGUCUGUUCCUGACAGUACCCCCAUUCCACUUCAGUGAAGGUGAUGAGCAUCAACAAUAACCUCCAUAUGGAGUUGCUCCAAUUGUAGCAAGUUAGCCACUGGGCAAAGAAAAUACCUAUGCUUCAACUACAGACAAAUCUGUUCAGAAAGGACAAAUGGAUGAAGAGCCAACCAAGCUCUGCCUAGACAGGGUAAGAAAAUCCUUCAUAUUUCCUGCUUCAACCAAAGGUCUGUCAGAUAUACUGGGCCAGAAGACUGAAGAUAGAUGCUCCAAUGUUAUAGAGAAUACUGGGGACUGUUUGGGUGAUCAGCUGUCUCUGUCAUUUCUAUAAUUUUUGUAAGCUGUGUUCCUGUGCUUCCUGCAUAUUCAGGUAAUAUUUAUUUCCUUCUCAAACUUCUGAUGGGAUUGAAAACUAGACUAGUUAUAGUCUUACUGUAAGCUUAAGUUAGUUAAGAUUUAAGAAGAUUUCUAGGUCUAAGAAGAUAUUUUUAGGAUGGCAAUAAAAGUUAGAAUAGAAAUAGAUUUAGAUACAAAAUUCUGAACUCACCAAGAUAGGAUAAAUAAUAACAUACUUUUUCCUAAAUUGCCAAAUACAAACAGUCUGGACAUUUUGAAUAUAACUCAUACCUAAUAAUUUUCAUGAUUGUUUCAUAAUUUUUCCUACUCUAUAUUGUAUAUAGAGAAAGAGCCUUUUUAUUCAUACAAAAGGGAUUGUUGAGGUUUGGUCUGAUGCUAUGCAUUGUAGUGCUAAAUAUUGGCCCUGGUUGCCUCCCUCUCUCCCCCCAGGAAUGAUGAGAUUCUCAAGUAGACCCAAGUAAUGCUAUGUAACCUUGCCCUUCAAGUUAUCUCACAUUGGUGAAUAAAGAUGCCUACAUUCUAUUGCUGGGCAAAAGAGAGAUAGGCAGAGUUUUGGUUCCCAGGCUUGGAGUAUUAGGCAGAGACCAUAAGGAGAGGAAGAGGUAGAGAGAAAAGACUCUACAGAGUAAGUGAAUCAUGAAAACGUGCCUUGAGGACUGGCCAGUUGAAGAUAAGAGCAGCCCAAACGGAACAUGGCAAAUUAUAACUCGGGGUUAUUAAUAGGGAAGUUGACAUAAGAGAACAUAAAUGCCAGCCCAGACUACUAUACCCAGCAAAACUCUCAAUUACCAUAGACAGAGAAAACAAGAUAUUCCAUGACAAAACCAAAUUUACACAAUACCUUUCCACAAAUCCAGCCCUACAAAGGAUAAUAGAUGGAGAACACCAACACAAGGAAGGAAACUACACCCCAGAAAAAGCAAGAAAGUAAUCUUUCAACAAAUUCAAAACACAAUAGGCACACAAACAUAAUUCCACCUCUAACAACAAAAAUAACAGGGAGUAACAAUCACUUUUCCUUAAUAUUUCUUAACAUCAAUGGACUCAAUUCUCCAGUAAAAAGACAUAGAAUGACAGACUGGAUAUGUAAACAGGACCUAGCAUUUUGCUGCAUACAGGAAAUGCACCUCAGUGACAAAGACAGAUGCUACCUCAGAAUAAAAGGUUGGAAAACAAUUUUUUAAGCAAAUAGUCCCAAGAAACAAGCUGGAGUAGCCAUUCUAAUAUCAAAUAAAAUUGAUUUUCAACCAAAAGUUAUCAAAAAGGAUAAUGAAGGAUACUUCAUACUGGUCAAAGGAAAAAUCUACCAAGAUUAACUCUCAAUUCUGAACAUCUAUUAAUUAAUGUGGGCACUCACAUUAAUAAAAGAAACUUUACUAAAGCUCAAAGCAUAUAUUGCACCCCACACAAUAAUAGUGGGAGACUUAGCAUCCCACUCUCAGCAAUGAACAUAUCAUGGAAACAUAAACUAAACAGAGACACAGUGAAACUAACAGAAGUAAUGAAUCAAAUGGAUCUAACAGAUAUUAAUAGAACAUUUCAUCCUAAAGCAAAAGAAUAUACUCUCUUCUCAGCACCUCAUGGUACCUUCUCCAAAACUGACUGUAUAAUUGGCCACAAAAGAGGCCUCAACAGAUGCAAGAAGACUGAAAUCAUUCCAUGUACCCUGUCAGAUCACCGUGGACUCAAAUGCUAACAAAAACAAUGGAAAACACACAUACACAUGGAAACUGAACAACACUCUACUCAAUGAUAACUUGGUCAA